rnacentral:rRNA from 1 species
CCCUUAGAUGUCCUGGGCCGCACGCGUGCUACACUGACGCAUACAGCUAGCACUUUCCAGUUCCGAGAGGCUACUGGUAAUCAUCAAUAUGCGUCGUGAUGGGGAUAGAUCUUUGGAAUUCUGGAUCUUGAACGAGGAAUGCCUAGUAAUCGCAGGUCAUUAGCCUGCGAUGAUUAAGUCCCUGCCCUUUGUACACACCGCCCGUCGCUACUACCGAUUGGAUGGUUUAGUGAGGCCCUCGGAUCGGCCCCGCCGGGGUCGGCCCACGGCCCUGGCGGAGCGCUGAGAAGACGGUCGAACUUGACUAUCUAGAGGAAGUAAAAGUCGUAACA